rnacentral:rRNA from 1 species
CCCUUAGAUGUUCUGGGCCGCACGCGCGCUACACUGAUACGUUCAACAAGUUCCCUGGCCGAAAGGUCUGGGUAAUCUUUGAAACCGUAUCGUGAUGGGGAUAGAACAUUGCAAUUAUUGUUCUUCAACGAGGAAUGCCUAGUAAGCGCGAGUCAUCAACUCGCGUUGAUUACGUCCCUGCCCUUUGUACACACCGCCCGUCGCUCCUACCGAUUGAACGUGCUGGUGAAGCGUUAGGACUGGCGCCACGUGUCGGGUCUCCCUUCAACGGGGCGCCGGGAAUUUCGUUGAACCCUCCCGUUUAGAGGAAGGAGAAGUCGUAACA